rnacentral:rRNA from 1 species
ACUGCUCAGUAACACGUGGCUAACCUACCCUUAGGACGGGGACAACCCCGGGAAACUGGGGCUAAUACCCGAUAGGUGAGGAGGCCUGGAAUGGUUCCUAGUCGAAAAGGCGUUGAAACCAUGCUUUUCGACGUCGCCUAGGGAUGGGGCCGCGCCCGAUCAGGUUGUUGGUGGGGUAACGGCUCACCAAGCCUAUAACCGGUACGGGCCGUGAGAGCGGGAGCCCGGAGAUGGGCACUGAGACAAGGGCCCAGGCCCUACGGGGCGCAGCAGUCGCGAAAACUCCGCAAUGCGCGAAAGCGUGACGGGGCUACCCCGAGUGCCGUCCGCUGAGGAUGGCUUUUCCCCGGUGUAAUGAGCCGGAGGAAUAAGGAGAGGGCAAGUCUGGUGUCAGCCGCCGCGGUAAUACCAGCUCUCCGAGUGGUAGGGAUGAUUAUUGGGCUUAAAGCGUCCGUAGCCGGCUUAGCAAGUUUCCUGUUAAAUUCAGCGACCUAAUCGUUGAGCCGCGGGAAAUACUACUAGGCUAGGAGGCGGGAGAGGUCGACGGUACUUCUGGGGUAGGGGUGAAAUCCUAUAAUCCCGGGAGGACCACCAGUGGCGAAGGCUGUCGACUAGAACGCGCUCGACGGUGAGGGACGAAAGCUGGGGGAGCGAACCGGAUUAGAUACCCGGGUAGUCCCAGCUGUAAACGAUGCGGGCUAGGUGUUGGGGUGGCUACGUGCCACUUCAGUGCCGCAGGGAAGCCAUUAAGCCCGCCGCCUGGGGAGUACGGCCGCAAGGCUGAAACUUAAAGGAAUUGGCGGGGGAGCAC